rnacentral:rRNA from 1 species
UACGAAGGGGGCUAGCGUUGCUCGGAAUCACUGGGCGUAAAGCGCACGUAGGCGGAUUGCUAAGUCAGGGGUGAAAUCCUGGAGCUCAACUCCAGAACUGCCUUUGAUACUGAAGAUCUUGAGUUCGGGAGAGGUGAGUGGAACUGCGAGUGUAGAGGUGAAAUUCGUAGAUAUUCGCAAGAACACCAGUGGCGAAGGCGGCUCACUGGCCCGAUACUGACGCUGAGGCACGAAAGCGUGGGGAGCAAGCAGGG